AUUGAACGCUGGCGGCAUGCCUUACACAUGCAAGUCGAACGGCAGCGGUCCUUCGGGUGCCGGCGAGUGGCGAACGGGUGAGUAAUAUAUCGGAACGUACCUUCAGUGGGGGAUAACGUAGCGAAAGUUACGCUAAUACCGCAUAUUCUGUGAGCAGGAAAGCAGGGGAUCGCAAGACCUUGCGCUGAUUGAGCGGCCGAUAUCAGAUUAGCUAGUUGGUGAGGUAAAGGCUCACCAAGGCGACGAUCUGUAGCGGGUCUGAGAGGAUGAUCCGCCACACUGGAACUGAGACACGGCCCAGACUCCUACGGGAGGCAGCAGUAAGGAAUAUUGGACAAUGGACGGAAGUCUGAUCCAGCCAUGCCGCGUGAAGGAAGAAGGCGCUCAGCGUUGUAAACUUCUUUUGGAUGGGAAUAAUAAUGUCGA
rnacentral:rRNA from 1 species